UCCGUAGGGACCAAGCGUUGUUCGGAUUUACUGGGCGUAAAGGGCGCGUAGGCGGCAAUUCAAGUCAUCUGUGAAAUCUCCGGGCUUAACCCGGAACGGUCAGAUGAUACUGCUUUGCUAGAGUGCGGAAGGGGCAAUCGGAAUUCUUGGUGUAGCGGUGAAAUGCGUAGAUAUCAAGAGGAACACCUGAGGUGAAGACGGGUUGCUGGGCCGACACUGACGCUGACAGCGCGAAAGCCAGGGGAGCAAACGGG
rnacentral:rRNA from 1 species